AAUCUAUGAAACCGGCGGAUUUCUUAGUAUUUUUAAUUUCUUUCUCCUCCACCAAACCCUACGCGACCUUCUUCUCCUCUGCCGCACAACUCAAGUUCUCCACCUGCAUCACUCCGAUCCAUGCCUCAUUGAAUCGCCGAUUACUCGUCACUGAAGUGAGAUUUCGUGAGUUUGAUAUUUGGCAUCUCACCGACCUCCCCACGCCGCCUACCCUGCUCCUCGCCUCUGUCCCCGCCGACCUCGAGCGACGCUCUACCCCGCAUCCUUAUGUCGUCGCCCCCCUCCCACCCACCCCAGUCGACCUCCAGAACCGUAGUUGGUCGUUGCCGCCUCCUUCUCCUCCGGUCGCGACACCCCGCUUCGGAGCCCUCGAUGCAGGCUAGCGGCUGGCUCUGCCUCGCUCUGCUUUGCUUCUCCCGCAUAACUCUCUUAGUUUUUUUUGUGUGAUUUUUUAAUUUUUUUGCUUAAGGUUUUAUCUGGAAGCAAUUCCAUGAUUUGUGUUAUUUUAUUUUAUUUCAAUUUUAUUGCUAUUGUGGAUUUGUAGGUUUAAGCGAUAUUGGAUGAGGAGCCUGAAGUCGUCACCAAAUAAAAAUCUGCCACUGGAAUUGUUAUCAUAUAAAAAACUUAGCAAAGGAAUCUAGCAGAUAUGUGCUACUUCUGCUCCUAUCUAACACAGAAAAGAAGGAUUUCUUUUAUUCACAAGCUUACUACAGGCCAAGUUAAGAUCAAUUAUAUUAGUUUCUUACAGAAUGGAUAUGGGGUUGGGAGAUCUUCUUACCAAAUAAUGUUGAUGGGUCCCAGGCUAUUCCCCAUGGUUCACUUGUGAAGGAAAUAUGAUCAAUGGUAGCAUGGAAGCAAAGGGGAAAAAAGUUAUUUAAUUGUUGAAAAGUUGAGGCUCGAAGAAUUGCAUUUUUGGAACUUGUUAUUAGAUAUUGACAAAUUGUUGGAUUCAUAGUUGAAACUUGAUGUAAGACAUUCCAGAUGAUUUUAAUGAAUGUUAAUGAGAAUUGAUUGUGUAGCUUGA